rnacentral:rRNA from 1 species
CUCUGUGACUCCUACGGGGAGCAGCAGUGGGGAAUAUUGCACAAUGGGCGCAAGCCUGAUGCAGCAACGCCGUGUGAGUGAAGAAGGUUUUCGGAUCGUAAAACUCUGUCCUAAGGGAAGAAACAAAUGACGGUACCUUAGGAGGAAGCCCCGGCUAACUACGUGCCAGCAGCCGCGGUAAUACGUAGGGGGCAAGCGUUAUCCGGAAUCACUGGGCGUAAAGGGUGCGUAGGCGGCUUAGCAAGCCAGGGGUGAAAGGACAUUGCUCAACCAAAUGUAAGCCUUUGGAACUGUUAAGCUUGAGUGCAGGAGAGGUAAGUGGAAUUCCUAGUGUAGAGGUGAAAUUCGUAGAUAUUAGGAGGAACACCAGUGGCGAAGGCGGCCCCCUGGACAGAUACUGACACUCAGAUGCGAAAAGCGUGGGGAGCAAACAGGAUUAGAUACCCUGGUAG